ACCUCUGAGGCACGCUGGGGAAUUCAGUUCCAAGCCAGGAUGCAGUUAAAAACCCACAGUGCUAUUAUUAUCCCCAUUUUAUAAAUUAGGACCCUGAGGCAAAGAACCAUUAAAUGUCUUGGAUUUGAACUCAGAUCUUCCUUACAUGAGACCUUGGGCACCACUUAGCAUUCUAACUAAUCUAGAGGUCCCGGUGGAUCCAAUCAGAGGCAAAGGGUUGGAUUAGGCGACUUCCUGUGACGUGGCUACCCUUCAACUUUUUUUGGUGAGAAGAGGCGGAGUCAAGAUGGCCACAUAGAAGGAGCAGGAGUUCAGACCUCUGAAAACCCUUCCUUAUGGAUCACAAACUGAAUGCUCCUAGGGGACUGAAAAUCAGACCUAACAACAAGACAGAGCCAAGGAACCCUCCUGCUGGACUCAACUCAAAAGGAUUGUGGUGAUAAGAACGAUUGUGCUACCAUGGACAGAUCAUUGGAUUUAUGUCCAAGGAAGGGAGUUUGAAUCCCAGCUCAGACUCCCUGAUCUGCUUCUUAUUUACCUGUGUGAUCUUGGACAAGUCACUUGGACUUUCUAGAACCAUCUCACCUUGAGCCCAGACUCCAGUUUUAGGUAUUGGGAAAAGAAGAAGAGAAAAAAGUCAUUAUCCAUGGAUAACCUGAUAUGGAAGAUGGAAGAACUUUGCUGGGUGCCAAUUAUUACAAGAAUAUCAUUAAAAAAACAGCUUGUCAAGUAAUUGGAUAUUAACAGAGUCAAGAUAAUAUUCGUAAGAAUCAAACAUGCGUAAAAUGAAUCGUGUGAGCAUGGGAGAAAUAAUAAUAAAAACAAUUCAAAUAUGCCAAUA